UGGGGAAUAUUGGACAAUGGGCGAAAGCCUGAUCCAGCCAUGCCGCGUGUGUGAAGAAGGUCUUCGGAUUGUAAAGCACUUUAUGUUGGGAGGAAGGGCAGUAAGCGAAUACCUUGCUGUUUUGACGUUACCGACAGAAUAAGCACCGGCUAACUCUGUGCCAGCAGCCGCGGUAAUACAGAGGGUGCAAGCGUUAAUCGGAAUUACUGGGCGUAAAGCGUGCGUAGGCGGCUAAUUGAGUCGGAUGUGAAAUCCCCGAGCUUAACUUGGGAAGUGCAUUCGAUACUGGUUAGCUAGAGUGUGGGAGAGGGUGGUAGAAUUCCAGGUGUGGCGGUGGAAUGCGUAGAGAUCUGGAGGAAUACCGAUGGGGAAGGCAGCCAUCUGGCCUAACACUGACGCUGAGGUACGAAAGCAUGGGGAGCAAACAGG
rnacentral:rRNA from 1 species